GACAAAGGCUCCUGAUCUGAAAGGAAGUGGUGUCACCAAAGGGCAGAUCUGCAGUUUUCUUCAAUGAGCUAGGAGGGAAAUGGGGACGAAACUCAUCGCAUCUGUCCCCAGAAGAACCAAACGUGCAUUGAAGCCAUUGCUGCAGAGAGAGGAAGACUGAGCACUUUAGUGUCUAAGCUCCUGUUAUAACAGGGUCUAUCCACCACUGCAUGCUGGAGUGAACAACAUAACAGUGAGAGAGAGAACUGCUACCUACCGUGCAGAAGGAAUUGAGCUGGCUAGGUUCUGAAUGCAUGCAGAGUUGAAUAACAUGAAAACAGCCAAAGAAAAAUCAUCAUGCAAGGAAAAUACAAUUGGAAUGCCAAAGCAAUCCCGGAGCUGUCUAACAUGCUAGCUUUUACCUGCUGUUCCGUAAGUUAGCUUUUGAAAAAAAAAAUUCACAUCAAUCCAUGUUCAUCAUUAAAAUUUUUAAAAAAGAUUUUGACGUUGUGUUGGCAAAUGCAAUGAGAUAUUCUUACAACGCAACUGUACUCAAAAGAAAUUAAAAUACAUCUCCAAUUUUCAA
rnacentral:lncRNA from 1 species